GGUUAAGCGACUAAGCGUACACGGUGGAUGCCUAGGCAAUCAGAGGCGAUGAAGGACGUGCUAAUCUGCGAUAAGCGUCGGUAAGGUGAUAUGAACCGUGAUAACCGACGAUUUCCGAAUGGGGAAACCCAGUGCAAUUCGUUGCACUAUCGUUUGAUGAAUACAUAGUCAAACGAAGCGAACCGGGGGAACUGAAACAUCUCAGUACCCCGAGGAAAAGAAAUCAACCGAGAUUCCCCUAGUAGCGGCGAGCGAACGGGGAGCAGCCCAGAGUCUUAAUCAGCAUUAGCAUCAGGAGAACGGUCUGGAAAG
rnacentral:rRNA from 1 species